GAACGGUGCGCCAAGACGUCAACGUGCUCGCUGUGCGUCGGCACGCAGGUCCCGCCUCCUGAGGACGGGUGAGUUCGCUGCUACCUGAGAUAGUGGUCGGGAGAGUUUGAGGGUUUGCGAAAGAGUUUACUGAUCGAUCCGAAUAAAAGUGAAAUGUGUGGUCGGGCGCGGUGGCCCACGCCUGUAAUCCCAGCACUGUGUGAGGCGGGGGCGAGCGGAUCACCUGGGGUCAGGAGUUCGAGACCAGCCUGGCCAACAUGGCGAAACCCCGUCUCAAUUAAAAAUACAAACAUUAGCCGGGCAUGGUGGCGGGCGCCUGUAAUCCCAGCUACUCGCCUGUAAUCCCAGCUGAGGAAGGAAAAUCGCUAGAACCCGGGAGGCGGAGGCUGCAGUGAGCCGAGAUCUUGCCAUUGCACUCCAGCCUGGGCGACAAGAGCGAAACUCCGUCUCAAAAAAAGAAAGAAAAUAAAAAGUGAAAUGUGGAUGUAACAACGCACUUUUAAAAAAAGUCUAAACAUCUGAGGAAUGUGUCUGUGCUUGCAGUGUCCAGCCAGCACAGAGACUGCACUCAAGGGAUGUGGGAACGGCUGAUUGAACGUGAACUGCGGUCAUUAAAUCUUUUAUGUCUGUGUUAAUAUCUACAAAUAAGCCUUAAUUUCUGUAGUUUCUGCAUAUCUCACACGGUUCCUGGCAAAUUGAAGAGUGUUUCAUGAAUUCAGGACUUUAUUGUGUUUGCUGUGAAUCAGUUUGUUUUGUACUGACGAUGAUGUUGGCUAACUCCCUUGUAACUAGUACUUAUUUGAAAUAAUGUCCUCGGGAUUAUUUUAAGCAAUGUUUAAGUAUGAAAUCAUUUCAUUCUCCUAACAUCUCAAGGAAUAUACUAUUAUAUUCUACUUUACAAAAGGGGAAACUGAGGAACGGGGAAGUUAAGUGGAAGCUAAGUGGAAGAAUCCAGAUAAUUGACCUCUCCUUCUAUUGGUAUGCAAUUGCUAGAGCAAUGAUAGUCCUCCGGUAGAGCCUUAGACAUUGUGUUUAUUGCAUUCCUGUUCCACCCACUGCAUUCCGGAUACUCCAACUUACUUCCAACACACAUAUGCAGGCGUCUCUAAAAUUCCGGAGAUAUGGUCACCAAUUAUUUUUAUGUGCGACAUGCUCAAAUCUUAAUAUAGUAAACGCUUGUAUAUUCAUAAACCAGCUUAAUAAAUGAAACAUUACCAUUCCUGUUGAAGAGCUUUGUGUAACCACCUUCCCAAUCACGACUACUCUCUGACUCUGAGAUAACUGCUCUUCUGAACUUGGUAUUCAUCGUUGCAAUGAAGAAAUGAAGAGAGCCAAAAAUGACAACAAAUGGAUUAACCCAACGAACUCCAUAAAUAUUUAUUUUUUCCCCUUUCUUUUCUCAGCUUCUUUAAAAGAUGUAAGAUGAUAUAAAGUAAUAAUAAUAACAAUGUACUGUUGGAUAUGUAAGAUAUAUAAAUGUAAUAAUGGCAAAAAUGGUGGGAGGGCGUCAGGCGUCAUGGCUCAUGCCUGUAAUCUCAGAACUUUGGGAGGCUGAGGCAGGCAGAACACUUGAGCCCAGGAGUUCAAGACCAGCCUAAGCAACAUGGGGAGACCCUGUCUUUCCAAAAAUACAAAAAUUAGCCCAACAUGGUGGCGUACACCAGUAGUCUCAGCUACUUGGGAGGUGGGAGGAUUGCUUGAGCCUAGGAGGUUGAGGCUGCAGUGAGCCAUGAUUGUGCCACUGCACUCCAACCUGGGUGACAGAGUGAGAUCUUGUCUUUAAAAAAAAAAUGGUGGGAGAGAAUGGAGCCAUAUAGAAUACAGUUUCUAUAUUUCACUGGAAUGAAGUUAGUAUAAAUCUAAAGUAGAUUCUGAUAAGAUGAAUACCAUAAGCUUUAGGGCAACUAUUAACUAAAGAAAUACAAUUAGAGAUUAUUAACACAAUUACAUGUUACACUAGAAAAUAUCCACUCAAUAUAAAAGGAAACAGGAAAGGAAGAAUACAGGAACAAUAAUAAAGAAACCUGUAGAAAACAAAAGGCAAAUGACAGACAUAAAUCCUACCAUAUCAAUAGCAAAAUUAAAUGUGAAUGCAUAAACAAUUGAAUCAAAAUGCAGAUAUUGUCAAACUGGAUUUUUAAAAGAUCAAAAUAUAUGUUAUCUGUAGAAGACACACAUUACAUUCAAAGAUACAAAUAUAUUCUAAGUAAAAGGGUGAAAAAAUAUAUAUCAGGCAAGUGGCCAAAAUAAGAAUGCUGGAAUUGCUAUACUAAUACCAGAAAAACAUAGAUUUUAAAAUGAAAAAUAUUAUUAGCUAUAAAGAGGAACAUUUUAUAAUUAAAGAAGAUCACUCCAUCAGGAAACACAAAAAUUGUAAACAUAUAUGCACAUAAUAAGACAGUACCAAAAUACAUGAAGACCACUAACAGAAUAGAAGGAUGAAAUAGAUAAUUCAAUAUUAGUUGAGGACGUCAAUAUACCACCGUUAGGGCUAGGCAUGGUAGCUCACACCUGUAAUCCCAGAGAUGUGAAAGGCCGAGAUGGGAGGGUUGCUUGAGGUCAGGAUUUGGAGACCAACCUGGGCAAUAUAGUGUCAUCUCAUCUCUUAAAAAAAAAAAAAAAGCCAGGUGUGGUGGUGUGUACCUGUAGUCCUAGCUAGUAGGAAGGCUGAGGCAGGAAGAUUACUUGAGCCCAGGAGUUCAAGGCUGCCACUACACACCAGCCGGAGUGACAGAAUGUGACCCUGUCUCUAAAUAAAUAAAUAAAAUAAAAAUUAAAAAUACACCGCUGUAAAUAGAUGAUAGAUCAAGUAGGCAGAAGAUUAACAAGGUUAUAAAAGACUUGAACAACACAAUAAAUUAACUAGACCUAGCAAACAUUUAUAGAACGCUCAACCCAACAAUAGCAAAAUAUUCUUCUCAAGUGCAUAUAAAACUUUCUCCAGGAUAGAUCAUAUGCUAGGUCUUUAAAAAAGAUAUUGAAACCCUCAUACAUUGCUGGUGGAAAUGUAAAAUGGUGCAGCCAUUUUGCAGGACAGUUUGAGGGUUCCUCAAAAUGUUAAACAUAGACUUACCCUGACCCAUCAUUUCAACAGCUGGAUGUAUACUCAAGAAAAAUAAAAACCUGUGUCCACACAAAAACAUAUACAAAGAUGUUCAUGGAAGUGUAUUUAUAAUACCAAAAAGUGGAAAUAACCCAAGUGUCAAUCUACUGAUGAAUAAACAAAAUCUAUCAAUGAAAUAUUAUUCAGCCAUAAAAAGAAAAUAAAGUGUUGAUAUAAGUGACAGCAUGGAUGACUCAUGAAAGCAUUAUGCAAAGUAAAAGAAGUCACUCACUGAAGAACAUGCUAUAUGAUUCCAUGUAUAUGAAAUGCCCAGAAUAAGCAAAUUUCUAGAGACAAAAAGUAGAUGAGUGGUUGUCUAGGGCUGAGAAGGUUCCUGAGAAUGGGGAAUGAGUGUAAUGUUUUUCUUUAGGAGGAGGAUAAAAAUCUUCUAAAAUUGGAUUAUGGUAGUGGUUGCACAGCUUUGUGGAUAUAGUAAAAACCAUUGAAUUGUAUAUAUUAAAUAAAUAUAAUUAAGGUAUGUGAAUUAUAAUUCAAUAAAACUGUUAAAAUUACAAAUUUUGUGCUUUUCAAUUGGAAAAUUCAUCCAAAAUUACAAAUUCUUAAAAGAAUGCAACCUAGCUAGGAGUGGUGGUGGGCACCUGUAGUCCCAGCAACUUGGGAGGCUGAGGUGGGAGAAUCACCUGAGGCCAGG
rnacentral:lncRNA from 10 species